ensembl:snoRNA Gm22727 predicted gene, 22727
UAUGCCCCUAGGGACAUUGCAGGUAUAGUUGUGUCUGCUGCGUCACAUGUGCAUCAGUAGGUGGCAGAGAGGAGAGAGGCUAUAUGAAUACCUAUCUCAAUGAUUAGUCUUCUACC